CGGUUAAACCAAAAGAUUAAGUCAUAUUUAUACGGUUAAAAGGUGGUUAAAUUGAUAAUAAAGUUUUGCAAUUUAUUUUUGUAAAGGUAAAAUUUAUAUAUAAAUGAAUGGUUCUAUAAUAACUAAUAAAUUGAAUCCACGAUAUCUUUUAGGGAAACUGGGAUUAGAUACCCCAUUAUUUUUAGACUUAAAUUUGUUUUUACCUGAGUAUUACGAACGUGUAAAUUUAAAACUCAAAGGGCUUGGCGGUGUUUUAGACCUCCCAGGGGAACAUGUCUCGUAAUCGAUAGUCCACGAUAUAUCUGACCUUCUUUUGUAAACAGUUUGCAUACCGUUAUCGGCAGGUGACUUUUAAAAAGAUAGAAGUUAGCAAGUUAAAUUAAUUAAUUAGGACGUUAAAUCAAGGCGCAGCUAAUAAGAAGGGGUGGAUGUGUUACAAUUAAGAUUUAUAAUAUGGAUUAAAAAGUGAAAUUUUUUAUGAAGGCGGACUUGGAAGUAAAGUAGAUUAUAAAGAUAUAUUGAAUACGGCUCUGAAACGUGUACAAAUUGCCC
rnacentral:rRNA from 1 species